UCUGUCAGUGUAGGGUUACUAUGAGCUCUCUAACAAACUACUACAUCCAGGCCUCAAAGCUGCUGGAAAAUGAUCUGGAUUACGAAGGAAUAAAUUUGAUAUGUUAGCAAUCACAAGUGGGAACUGAAAAGAAAGGCUUCCUUAAUACGGUUCUUUUAGGCUAUAAUGGGAAAUACGAAGAUAAAUCUGGCUCAGCGACAAACCCACAUAAGACUGCGGCAAGCACACAGAAUAUAGAUCUCGGUUAUGAGAUGUGUAAAACACACAAUGGCCUGAAUCAGGAGCUAAGUAUAUAAGUGCAAACAAACCCGUUUUUAUAGUUAGCAUGGCAUUUUGAAUGGAGUUUUAAGCCUAAAGGACAGUAUCCUACUUGCAGAAGAAGAUGGGAAAUAAAACACUCCAUUAUUUUGCUUUGGAUUUAUGGAAACUCUGAACAGUGAUGUGAGAGUGACUGCAGUUUGAAGUCUCUGUUAAAUACAGCAACAUGACAUCACAAGUAGACUUGCUAUACCAGAAAAGUCAAAAGAAGUUCUUCAGAGAGAAGAAAUAUGAUACAUAUCAGAAACUUGGGACUACAUAAAGAAAGAGCAUUGGAAAAAAACUAAGUGAAGGGACAUGGAUGAAUCUGGAGAACAUCAUCCUCAGCAAACUGACACAAGAACAGAAAAUGAAACACCGCAUAUUCUCACUCAUAGGUGGGUGAUGAAAAAUGAGAACACAUGGACACAGAAAGGGGAGUACUAAACACUGGGGUCUAUUGGGGGGAAAAGGGGAGGGCCAGUGGGAGGGGGAGGUGGGGAGGGAUAGCCUGGGGAGAAAUGCCAAAUGUGGGUGAAGGGGAGAAGAAAAGCAAAGCACACUGCCAUGUGUGUACCUACGCAACUGUCUUGCAUGCUCUGCUCAUGUACCCCAAAACCUAUAAUCCAAUAAAAAAUUAAAAAAAAAAAAAGAAAUUGUGAUAGAUAGAUAGAUAGAUAGAUAGAUAGAUAGAUAUCAUGGAAUAGUACUCGGCCAUAAAAAGGAAUAGAAUAAUGGCAUUCCCAGAAACCUGGAUGGAACUGGAGAUCAUUAUUCUAAGCGAAGUAACUCAGGAAUGGAAAACCAAAAAAUCAUAUGUUCUCACCCAUAAGUGAGAGCUAAGCUAUGAGAAUGCAAAGGAAUAAGAAUGAUGCAAUGGACUUUGGGGACUCCGGGAAAGGAUGCAAGGUGGGUGAAGGAUAAAAGACUACACAGUGAGUACAGUGUACUCUGCUCAGGUGAUGGGUGCACCAAACUCUCAGAAGUCACCACUAAAGAACUUAUUCAUGUAACCAAAUACAACCUAUUCCUUAAAAACCUAUUCAAUAAUCCAUCAUUCAAUAAAAGAGCAAUAAAUGAAAAAAUAUAUAUAUAUAUAUUAUUAAGUGAAAGAAGUCAGUCUUAAAAGACUAACAUACUGUAUAAUCCAAACUGUAUGCCAUUCUGGAAAAGGAAAAACUAUGGAGACAGUAAACAUAAAAGUGGUUGUCAGGGUUUAGGGGAGAGGUAGGGAUGAAUAGGCAAAGCAUGGAAGAUUUUUAGAGCAGUAAAACUAUUCCGUAUGUAACUGCAAUGGUAAAUACAUGUUAUUAUAUAUUUGUCAAAACUAGAAUGUAUAGCACCAAGAGGAAACCCUCAUACAAACUAUGAACUUUGAAUGAUAAAUGUACUACUGUGGUAUGGAAUGUUGAUAGUGUGUGAAAACUCUGUAAUUCUCAAUUUUUCUCUAACCUAAAACUUCCCUAAAAUGUAGUUUAUUAGUUAAAAAAUUAAAUGCUGUGGCCUUUCUAAAUAAUAUUCCUGUGAAUGAAAAAAGGGUCAAUGAAAUAACUUAAUUUUUCAGACUUUUAAACAUACUUUCCCAUAGAACAUAAAAUUUUAUAGAUGUUUUCAGUAAACACUAUUUACAUAUGGAUUUACAAUUGAAUUUCCAAUUUAUAUAAUAAAAGACAAUAGGAAAUUGUGAGUUCUUUAAAAAAUGAAAUUUCUACACCAUAAACCAAGAUAUUUCAGAUCAUAUUAGCAAUUGAGAUAAAAUUGAACCACAUGAUGAAGUUUGUAAAUGUUGGUAAUAAAUUGAGCAGAUUUUAAUAAAAAUUUAAGUUGACAUAUGAGAUAACAUUUGUGAUUUAUGGUUUAGGUUGGAAAUGGUUGGUCAUUUUUAUUCUGUGGUUUGAACUCAGUGGACUGAAGCAGUAUAUGAUGAGUUGCUUUUAAUGUAGUUUUCAGAUUUCUAAGCUUUCUAACCUGAGGAGCUAUAUAUGAAACCAGAAGUCAUCCUUAAAGCCUUGAAGAAGUUUCUUCCAUUCAAAGAAAAGCACAUUAAACAAUUAACAACAAUUUCUACUGGGAGCUUUAAGCAAUUUAU